rnacentral:sRNA from 1 species
UAGCUUAGCUUCUUAGCCUUAAUUGGCUAAUGGCUGGUGGCUUUUUAGCCACCGGCCU